CCUACGGGAGACAGCAGUGAGGAAUAUUGGUCAAUGGCCGAGAGGCUGAACCAGCCAAGUCGCGUGAGGGAUGACGGCCCUACGGGUUGUCAACCUCUUUUGCCGGUGAGCAAAGAGCUGGACGCGUCCCGCCUCGAGAGUACCCGGAGAAAAAGCAUCGGCUAACUCCGUGCCAGCAUCCGCGGGCAUACGUAGGAUUCGAGCGGUAUCCGGAUUUACUGGGGUUAAAGGGCGCGUAGGCGGGCUUUUAAGUCAGCGGUGAAAAUUCUGGGCUCAACCUCGGUCGUGCAGUUGAAACUGGUGGUCUUGAGUACUGGAGAGGCAGACGGAAUGCGUAGUGUAGCGGUGAAAUGCGUAGAUAUUAGGAAGAACACCAGUUGCGAAGGCAGCCUGCUGGAGAGCUACUGACGCUGAGGCGCGAAAGUGUGGGGAUCGAACAGGAUUAGAUACCCUUGUAGUC
rnacentral:rRNA from 1 species